CCCUGCUGGGCUUUCCAACUGAAGGAGCGAGAAGGGGAGGAGCCUGUUUUGUAAGUGAGGCUAGAAACCCACAGAAACCAAUGUGGGUGCUGAUGAGGCGUCGCCACCUCCCCCAUCCUGCCACACAACCUCUGUUCUCACAUGGGAGAACCAGCACCCCGACAACGUGAAAGCUGUGGCUCAUCUCCUAGAACUCACAGAGCCAUACUUCAGGGAGACACACUGUUGCCUAGACACACGAGUUCAUUUACAGUUCCCCAAGCAGUUCCCCUGCUCCCCUAGAGACACGGAGCAGAGGACAAACUGCUUGAGGGAGCGCUGUGAACGUGCCUCUGCUAUGUUGUUCUACAUGUCGUGCUCUGCCUUUCCUAGAAUAUCCCUCAUGCAAUAGAAAGGGGGGGGGGGGGUGGAAUCAGACUGACUGACUCACACCCACACUUUCACCUCCUCUCUCUCUCUCUCUCUCACACACACUCUGAAAGAGUCCGUUUUCAUAAAGACCCCAGCCAGGCUUGCAUUACCUAGAACUGUUGAUGUAGCAAGCCGUGUGAACUGGAACCAGAUGAUGGAGCUCAGUAAGUCACUCUGGCUGUCAUGGACAGAACAGCUCCAGCUGGUACUGUCAGCUGGGUGGGAGAGACUACUGGAUGGGACACUUUGAUUGGACGAGAUGUUGUAAAGGAUCCAGCCCAAUGCUGUGUAACAGAAACUACAGGAUCUCGGGCUAUGAUUUGUCUGUUGUUUCUACCAAACACUCUGAUUUCUCCCCCUUUGUCAACUUGCUGCUUGCCCGAGCCAUCACCCCAUUAUGAAACUACGGCUAACACUUGAUAGGAGCCUUUGAAAUGUCUUGUCUGCUCAUUUUUAAUAGUUAAUUGAUCCAAUAUUGAUCUUAUAUCUAGGCUUAUACCUCCAAUUUAAGGGUGGAACUGUUAUUUCCCAGUCUCUGUUUCAGUGGGGAACAUAUUCGGUGUGGAUGGAAAUUAGAUAGCUGUUUUAAGUUCGCACUCUGAACAAUUGAUGUACUCACCUAACCCCCAGCCAGUAACAUGGACCAUCACAACCACACUGCAGACCCCUGUCUUUUCUCUGCUGUGCCUACAUACAGAACCAAUGCUGUCCUGACUAUUGAUGCGUUUAGUAUUAUUUAUGUACACACUUUGUGACACAUUUUUUUUUUUUAUUUAAUCCAUUUUGUAUGUCUUAAAUGAGGACCUAGCUGUUUUUGAGUUGUUUUUAGUAUGGCUUUGAAAUGAUCCCAUUAAUGUCUCGUCUAGAUCCAUUAGGUCACUGUACUGAUCAGCCAUGUGAUCCUAUAUAGCUUAAGGGCUCUAUUCAAUCCGUAUCGUGGAAGUUCAGCGUUACAGCGUGAUUGAAAUGUAAAGGCAAUGUUCCCGCAUUGGUGGAGACAGCAUUCACGGUAAGCGCUGUAUAAGUCUACUCAAUUGGAAAUUACCUUUCUAUCGCGCAAUCAGCAACACAGGUUGAAUAAAGUCCUAAGCUACUUUAUUGCCACAAAACCACAGCACAUUGCCUUUCUGUGUUCACUACUUGGCUGGUAGACUUUGUCCAAGUUCAUUAAAGUAACCAAAAAGUGGUGUUUGAGCAUUGACCAAAGAUAAGUUCUGCUGUAAGCUUUUUUCCCAGAGAAUACCAAAUGUUACACCCCAAUGUCAUUUAGACCAAUAGAAGUUUUAGUUAUGUUGUAAUACACUAGUCUAUUAGAAACCCCGGCUGUGGUGGGAUUUCAUUUUCCCUAACCCGCAUGCCCCUAUAUCUGGCAGCCAGACUUGGAGGUCUUCCUCAGGAGGAAGGACCCACCAUGGCACAGCCAGCCCUGCCCAUACGAUAUGCAGGCGGUCACUGUCCAGUCAAGCCGUCGCUUUUUAUACUGCAGCUGCAGGCAGCUACGCUCACGGUCUCCGAGAUCCCUUCACUAUGAAAAGGAAGACAGAGUCCAACCUGAAGCUCGCUUUGUUUAAAGCUUGUUUGUACACCGCAUGGUACCUUCUGUGUGUAAUGUGUGUCUAGUCAAUUGCACUAUUGUUUUUUUUAACUAACUUGGAUGUGCAAUAAGUAAACUAUAAAGACUGUAUGUAAUGAAUUAAAAAGCAGCACCAUUGUA
rnacentral:lncRNA from 1 species